UACAGGGGGGGGCAAGCGUUGUUCGGAAUUACUGGGCGUAAAGGGCCAGUAGGCGGCCAACUAAGUCACACGUGAAAUCCCCAGGCUUAACCUGGGAACUGCGUGUGAUACUGGAUGGCUUGAAUUCGGGAGAGGGAUGCAGAAUUCCAGGUGUAGCGGUGAAAUGCGUAGAUAUCUGGAGGAAUACCGGUGGCGAAGGCGGCAUCCUGGACCGAGAUUGACGCUGAACGGCGAAAGCUAGGGGAGCAAACGGG
rnacentral:rRNA from 1 species